GUGAGGAAUCUUCCACAAUGGGGGCAACCCUGAUGGAGCAACGCCGCGUGCAGGAUGAAGGCCUUCGGGUUGUAAACUGCUUUUAUAAGUGAGGAAUAUGACGGUAACUUAUGAAUAAGGAUCGGCUAACUACGUGCCAGCAGCCGCGGUCAUACGUAGGAUCCGAGCGUUAUCCGGAGUGACUGGGCGUAAAGAGUUGCGUAGGUGGUUAGUAAAGCGAAUAAUGAAAUCUGGUGGCUCAACCAUACAGGCUAUUAUUCGAACUCACUAACUCGAGAAUGGUAGAGGUCACUGGAAUUUCUAGUGUAGGAGUGAAAUCCGUAGAUAUUAGAAGGAACACCAAUGGCGUAGGCAGGUGACUGGACCAUUUCUGACACUAAGGCACGAAAGCGUGGGGAGCGAACCGGAUUAGAUACCCCAGUAGUCC
rnacentral:rRNA from 1 species